CUGGGGUUGUUUCUCAGUGGUAGAGCACUUGCCUGGCAUGUGUGAGGCACUGGGUUCGAUCCUCAGUAUCACAUA
rnacentral:tRNA from 1 species